rnacentral:rRNA from 1 species
GAUGAACGCUGGCGGCAUGCUUUACACAUGCAAGUCGAACGGCAGCACGGGUGCUUGCACCUGGUGGCGAGUGGCGAACGGGUGAGUAAUACAUCGGAACAUGCCUAUUAGUGGGGGAUAACUAUCCGAAAGGAUAGCUAAUACCGCAUACGACCUGAGGGUGAAAGCGGGGGAUCUUCGGACCUCGCGCUAAUAGAGUGGCCGAUGGCUGAUUAGCUAGUUGGUGAGGUAAAGGCUCACCAAGGCGACGAUCAGUAGCGGGUCUUAGAGGACGAUCCGCCACACUGGAACUGAGGCACGGUCCAGACUCAUACGGGAGGCAGCAGUGGGGAAUCUUGGACAAUGGGCGCAAGCCUGAUCCAGCAAUGCCGCGUGGGUGAAGAAGGCCUUCGGGUUGUAAAGCCCUUUUGUUUGGGAGCAAAUCCUUGGUGUUAAUACCGCCUGGGGAUGAGAGUACCAAAAGAAUCAGCACCGGCUAACUACGUGCCAGCCGCCGCCGUAA